AGGGAAGAAAUUGUGAACCUCUUUUUGGGGUGAAAAACCCGCCGCAUCUAAAGAAAAAAAAGAGAGGUUGAAUCCGUCUGUAUAGCAAGGGAACUCGCAGCCGCCGACAGAAAGCAUAGAACCGCAGCAGCUGAUUUUGUGCGCGAAGAAGAGAAGCGAUCGGACGUGGGUCUAACGUGGGCAAGUGUCCGCGGCGUUUGCGUGGGUGACGGGCAGAAGAUCGGAUCGUUCUGGGCGAGUGUUCGGUGGUUCCAGCUCAGCGUGGGUGCACCGGUCAUUUCCAGUUCAGUGUGUGGGUUUGCUGCAGAUCUGGGUUUAGUGGUUCGUCGGUCAGAGGCGGGUAGCACACUGUUUUAGGUUGUUUUGCAGCGGGUUGUUCUCAGUUUUCAGAGGCGACGUUGUGUGCGAAUCUCUCGGGUUGGACUAGGGAAAGCCACAUUUGAAGUGUAAGCAUGAGAGAUUCUAGAGUAAUUUUUGUAGGCUACUAGAGCCUGAGAGCCAAACAUGGUGAGGCCUUGCGGAGUAAUAGCCCAAGCAAUCCAUUGAUUGAGAGACGUUGAAGGGCGUCUAAAAGCAGGUGGUUUUUUUUAUUGAAUUGAGGUCUAAUGAAGGUAAGAGUUAAGCAUUGGAUGAUUUACACAAGCUUCAAGCACUUCAUUGUUGGUAAAACCAUUAUAGCUUCUGCAACUUUGAGCUGAGGUUGAGAGAAAUAAAGAGAAGAGGAUCAAAAUAGAGAAGAAAGAAAGAGAGUUAAGGGCAGGUAGGGGUUUGGGACCAAGGAAAUCGUGGACUGAUAUCCUGGUCAAUAUAGCAUGCUUGACAUGUGACAGUCGGGAUGCUAGGUCGGCAAUAGGAAAUCGUGGACCUCGUCCAUGAUUUAGCUUUAAAUUGUGGACUGGAUACACGGUUUAUGUGCUGACAUGGUACUCGUGGACCCGGUCCAUGAUUUCACAAUUCUAUUUUUUAAAAUAUUUUCAAACCAACCCUAUUUUUGUCAAUAAAUAUUAAAAUAACAUUAUUUUUUUUAAAAAAAAAAAAUCAACAUUCUAAUAUUUUUCGUUAGUCAAUUUAACUAAAUCGAAGACUUAUAAUCAUUUUUUAAAAUGUAAUUGACUAAAAUAUUGGAUUUCAAAAACUCAAAGACUACAUCAAAAUUAAAACUCAAACUUUAGAAUAAAUCAUUCAAGUUGAUUAUAUAUAUAUAACUAGAAAUAGAUUCUUUAACCAGAAAGAAUUCAGUUCAAAUGUGGGAUACCUAUCCAGAAGUUUUCGCAACCCAAUCAUGUAUGAUGGAAUCAUCAAAGAUUUAAUCCAAAGCUAUGGAAUUUGGGGGUGGGUCUUUUGUCGAAAUGGAAUGGCCUUAUCUUUUAAUUUUUUCUUUUUUGUUAAUGUGUUAAGGGCGGGGGUUCCAUUAUAAAUUAAAUAUCGUUUAGAAUUUGAUACAAUGAGAUAUAAUGCAAUAGAAAUAAAGACAUAGGGAACUGGUUACCUACUCUUAACGGUCAAAGCGAACCCUUUAUUCUGGAUUAUUUAAUUCAGAAUGAAUCAAAUCUCCCCAAGUAGGAUUCAAACCUAUGACCAAUCGGUUAACAGCCGACCGCUCUACCACCGAGCUAUUGAGGAACAAUAGUAAAUUAGGUCUCAGAGAAUUCAAUUCUCGUGACAACAUGAAAAAACCAAAAAAAAAAAAAAAAAAAAACUUUGCCCUUCCUCUCUAUCUAGAUGUAGAAAUAGAAACCACUUUCAAAACAAAUGGGACUAAACAGGAACAAGAGGGAUCCACCGAAGAAGAUACUUCUCCUUCCCUUUUUUCGGAAGAAAAGGAGGAUCCGGACAAAAUCGAUGAAAUGGAAGAGAUCAAGUGAAUGGAAAGAAAAAAACAAAGGAUGAAUUCCACGACACUUCGCCUGUCACACUAUGGGAGCAGGCCAUGCAUGAAGUCGUUACCUUAAUCGCAAGGAGGGGGAUGCCAAAGGCAGGGCUAGUGACUGGAGUGAAGUCGUAACAAAGUAGCCGUACUAGAAGGUGCGGCUGGAUCCCCUCCUUUUCAGAGAGAGCUAAUGCUAUAUCGACACAUCUGCGAUCGCCAAAUGUUCGGUAGUUCCUUUAUUCAAUCCUUUUCCUUCUUCUCGUUGUUGUAUAUCUACAGUGAUGAAUAUAAGCGCAAUUGAAAUUCUUGGGGAGUUAUACAUUUAUGUAUUGAGAAGACCA